GGGUCCAAUUUUUUUCCACAAAGUCACAAAAUGAUUUACGGCAGGUAGACGGCACUACAGAGCACACAUUCUGAAGGGUCACAGAUUUCUUUACAACACCGGAAAAGCCAAUGUUAGAGAGCGAUCAGCCAGGUAAAAAGUAGCAGGAUAUUUCUUUAUACAGGCCUAAUUGUAUUUUAAUUU